AGAGUUUGAUCCAGGCUCAGGACGAACGCUGGCGGCGCGCCUAACACAUGCAAGUCGAACGAGCGAGAGAGAGCUUGCUUUCUCGAGCGAGUGGCGAACGGGUGAGUAACGCGUGAGGAACCUGCCUCAAAGAGGGGGACAACAGUUGGAAACGACUGCUAAUACCGCAUAAGCCCACGGCUCGGCAUCGAGCAGAGGGAAAAGGAGCAAUCCGCUUUGAGAUGGCCUCGCGUCCGAUUAGCUAGUUGGUGAGGUAACGGCCCACCAAGGCGACGAUCGGUAGCCGGACUGAGAGGUUGAACGGCCACAUUGGGACUGAGACACGGCCCAGACUCCUACGGGAGGCAGCAGUGGGGAAUAUUGCACAAUGGGGGAAACCCUGAUGCAGCGACGCCGCGUGGAGGAAGAAGGUCUUCGGAUUGUAAACUCCUGUUGUUGAGGAAGAUAAUGACGGUACUCAACAAGGAAGUGACGGCUAACUACGUGCCAGCAGCCGCGGUAAAACGUAGGUCACAAGCGUUGUCCGGAAUUACUGGGUGUAAAGGGAGCGCAGGCGGGAAGACAAGUUGGAAGUGAAAUCCAUGGGCUUAACCCAUGAACUGCUUUCAAAACUGUUUUUCUUGAGUAGUGCAGAGGUAGGCGGAAUUCCCGGUGUAGCGGUGGAAUGCGUAGAUAUCGGGAGGAACACCAGUGGCGAAGGCGGCCUACUGGGCACCAACUGACGCUGAGGCUCGAAAGUGUGGGUAGCAAACAGGAUUAGAUACCCUGGUAGUCCACACUGUAAACGAUGAUUACUAGGUGUUGGAGGAUUGACCCCUUCAGUGCCGCAGUUAACACAAUAAGUAAUCCACCUGGGGAGUACGACCGCAAGGUUGAAACUCAAAGGAAUUGACGGGGGCCCGCACAAGCAGUGGAGUAUGUGGUUUAAUUCGACGCAACGCGAAGAACCUUACCAAGUCUUGACAUCCUGCGACGCACAUAGAAAUAUGUGUUUCCUUCGGGACGCAGAGACAGGUGGUGCAUGGUUGUCGUCAGCUCGUGUCGUGAGAUGUUGGGUUAAGUCCCGCAACGAGCGCAACCCUUAUGGUCAGUUACUACGCAAGAGGACUCUGGCCAGACUGCCGUUGACAAAACGGAGGAAGGUGGGGAUGACGUCAAAUCAUCAUGCCCUUUAUGACUUGGGCUACACACGUACUACAAUGGCGUUAAACAAAGAGAAGCAAGACCGCGAGGUGGAGCAAAACUCAGAAACAACGUCCCAGUUCGGACUGCAGGCUGCAACUCGCCUGCACGAAGUCGGAAUUGCUAGUAAUCGCAGAUCAGCAUGCUGCGGUGAAUACGUUCCCGGGCCUUGUACACACCGCCCGUCACACCAUGAGAGCCGGGGGGACCCGAAGUCGGUAG
rnacentral:rRNA from 1 species